rnacentral:rRNA from 1 species
GACGAACGCUGGCGGCGUGCUUAACACAUGCAAGUCGAACGGGCCCGCCCCUGUUUUUGGGGGUGGGUUGAGUGGCGAACGGGUGAGUAUCACGUGAGUAACCUGCCCCCUGCUCCUGGAUAACUGCUUGAAAGGGCGGCUAAUACGGGGUGUGCCGGCUGGUCCGCAUGGGCCUGGUCGGGAUAGUUUCAUCUUCGGGUGUUUCGGUGGGGGAUGGGCUCGCGGCCUAUCAGCUUGUUGGUGGGGUGAUGGCCCACCAAGGCGGUGACGGGUAGCCGGCCUGAGAGGGUGGGCGGCCAGACUGGGACUGAGACACGGCCCAGACUCGUGCGGGAGGCAGCAGUGGGGGGUAUUGCACAAUGGGCGGAAGCCUGAUGCAGCGACGUCGCGUGAGGGAUGGAGGCCUUCGGGUUGUGAACCUCUUUCUCCGGUGGUGAAGGCCCUGUCCGUUGCGGCGGGGUUGACGGUAGCCGGGGAUGAAGCGCCGGCUAACUACGUG